rnacentral:rRNA from 1 species
AUUGAACGCUGGCGGCAUGCUUUACACAUGCAAGUCGGACGGCAGCACAGAGAAGCUUGCUUCUUGGGUGGCGAGUGGCGAACGGGUGAGUAACAUAUCGGAACGUACCGAGCAGUGGGGGAUAACUAAUCGAAAGAUUAGCUAAUACCGCAUAUUUUCUGAGGAAGAAAGCAGGGGACCAUUUGGCCUUGCGCUGUUUGAGCGGCCGAUAUCUGAUUAGCUAGUUGGUGGGGUAAAGGCCUACCAAGGCGACGAUCAGUAGCGGGUCUGAGAGGAUGAUCCGCCACACUGGGACUGAGACACGGCCCAGACUCCUACGGGAGGCAGCAGUGGGGAAUUUUGGACAAUGGGCGCAAGCCUGAUCCAGCCAUGCCGCGUGUCUGAAGAAGGCCUUCGGGUUGUAAAGGACUGUUGUCAGGGAAGAAAAGGGCGGGGUUCAUCACCCCUGUCUGCAUGACGGUCACUGAAGCA